ensembl:lncRNA
AUGGUGGAGCCGCUUGGUCGACGGGCUGAGGCAGAGUCUAGGACUCAGAGGCUGCAGGUGGAGGCAAGGGAUUCUCCAUCCACGCAAAUGAGGGAGACUGACAAAACCGCUGUGCUCCCACUAAACAGAUCGUGGGAUGAGGGUGAGCAGAGGGGCUGCCAGACGACAACAGUGGAAGAGUCAGAUGACUUGAGUCAUGAAGCCUCUGGAUCAUUUGGGGAUGCGGCCACAUCACCCUCCUCAACCCAUUUGUUUGGCGGCUUCCAUAUGACAGACAGGAAUCCAGCUUCUGUAGUCCAAUCAGAUCCCACAGGCUCGUCAAAGGGUAGCAGGGAACAACCUGCAUUUUCCUCUGUACUUACAUUACUUGCCAGCACAGCCCAAAAGCCUCCCAAACUGUCGUCAAAAGUUGUUGCACGUGGCAAUGAAACACAUCAAUGGCCUUCUAAUGGAUCUUUGGAACGAGUGGAGCCAUUUACUCUCCCAUCGUCUGUGCUGGUCGGCAACCAAUCCAAUAACUCAGAGUUUCAAUUGAUAUCUGAGCUGGAGGCACCUGCAGCCUCUAGAGCUGCAGACCCUGAUUCUAGCAGAUUGAUUUCACCUGAGCAGAAAAACACUGCUGCACCCAAUAGAUCUUCAGCUACAUCUGUGGACACACAACGAGAACGACCAGACAUUGCAACCACUAUUGUAUCUCAACCUACAGUAUUUAACAGCAAUACUGUUACCACAACCAGCAUCCCCUUUACAACAACAACAAACCAGAUUAGCACUACCCAAUCAUCUGCUGCUAAACGACACUCCAAAACACCCAGGACUUCUAUAAGAACUACAACUACACAAUCUCCAAAGACAACACCUAGAAUCCUGUUUGACUCCACCUCACAGAGUGCUAAGUUGGACCCUUCAAAAAGCACUUUAGGAACUCCAAGAGCUGCUGCAACUGAGGCCUCAAUGCUAAGAUGUAACAUCACUGACAAGAUGUGGAUAAAAACAGGUGCGAUUGCUCAGAUCAAAUGUUGAUCUUUAUGAAAUUGACAGAAAAUUGUUGUACUGUAAUUCAGUGUUGUAAUCAUUCAAGUCUGAGUCAAGACUGAGACCAGAUGUGGGUUGAUUCCUAGUUAUGCCCACAUGUUCCCAAGUCACUGACAAGACCAAGACAAUGAAAAUAUGGUCUUGGACUCAAGUACUACAACAUUUACUGUCAUCUGCCACUGCUGUCAUCAUUCAUGCUGAAUAAAUCUACCUGUACAUGUUUAAUUAAUGAUGAA